UGCAGUCGACGAUGAACCUCCUUCGGGAGGGGAUUAGUGGCGAACGGGUGAGUAACACGUGGGCAAUCUGCCCUGCACUCUGGGACAAGCCCUGGAAACGGGGUCUAAUACCGGAUACGACUCGGGAGGGCAUCCUUCCGGGUGGAAAGCUCCGGCGGUGCAGGAUGAGCCCGCGGCCUAUCAGCUUGUUGGUGGGGUGAUGGCCUACCAAGGCGACGACGGGUAGCCGGCCUGAGAGGGCGACCGGCCACACUGGGACUGAGACACGGCCCAGACUCCUACGGGAGGCAGCAGUGGGGAAUAUUGCACAAUGGGCGAAAGCCUGAUGCAGCGACGCCGCGUGAGGGAUGACGGCCUUCGGGUUGUAAACCUCUUUCAGCAGGGAAGAAGCGCAAGUGACGGUACCUGCAGAAGAAGCGCCGGCUAACUACGUGCCAGCAGCCGCGGUAAUACGUAGGGCGCAAGCGUUGUCCGGAAUUAUUGGGCGUAAAGAGCUCGUAGGCGGCUUGUCGCGUCGGAUGUGAAAGCUCGGGGCUUAACCCCGGGUCUGCAUUCGAUACGGGCAGGCUAGAGUGUGGUAGGGGAGAUCGGAAUUCCUGGUGUAGCGGUGAAAUGCGCAGAUAUCAGGAGGAACACCGGUGGCGAAGGCGGAUCUCUGGGCCAUUACUGACGCUGAGGAGCGAAAGCGUGGGGAGCGAACAGGAUUAGAUACCCUGGUAGUCCACGCCGUAAACGUUGGGAACUAGGUGUUGGCGACAU
rnacentral:rRNA from 1 species